AUUUUUUUAGCUUAACUUCUUUUAAAGCAUUAUAUUGAAGAUAUAAACAUAAUUAAUUUUUUAAUUAAAAAAUA
rnacentral:tRNA from 1 species